rnacentral:rRNA from 1 species
GACGAACGCUGGCGGCGUGCUUAACACAUGCAAGUCGAACGGAAAGGCCCUGCUUUUGUGGGGUGCUCGAGUGGCGAACGGGUGAGUAACACGUGAGUAACCUGCCCUUGACUUUGGGAUAACUUCAGGAAACUGGGGCUAAUACCGGAUAGGAGCUCCUGCUGCAUGGUGGGGGUUGGAAAGUUUCGGCGGUUGGGGAUGGACUCGCGGCUUAUCAGCUUGUUGGUGGGGUAGUGGCUUACCAAGGCUUUGACGGGUAGCCGGCCUGAGAGGGUGACCGGCCACAUUGGGACUGAGAUACGGCCCAGACUCCUACGGGAGGCAGCAGUGGGGAAUAUUGCACAAUGGGCGGAAGCCUGAUGCAGCAACGCCGCGUGCGGGAUGACGGCCUUCGGGUUGUAAACCGCUUUAGCCUGUGACGAAGAGUGAGUGACGGUAAUGGGUAAAGAAGCACCGGCUAACUACGUG